UACGUAGGGACCAAGCGUUGUUCGGAUUUACUGGGCGUAAAGGGCGCGUAGGCGGCAAUUCAAGUCAGUUGUGAAAUCUCCGAGCUUAACUCGGAACGGUCAACUGAUACUGUUUUGCUAGAGUACAGAAGGGGCAAUCGGAAUUCUUGGUGUAGCGGUGAAAUGCGUAGAUAUCUGGAGGAACACCGGUGGCGAAGGCGGCGUCCUGGACCAACACUGACACUGAUGAGCGAAAGCCAGGGGAGCAAACGGGG
rnacentral:rRNA from 1 species